UACGUAGGUGGCAAGCGUUGUCCGGAUUUACUGGGCGUAAAGAGCGCGCAGGCGGUCGUUCAAGUCGCGUGUGAAAGCCCCCGGCUCAACUGGGGAGGGUCACGCGAUACUGAUCGACUCGAAGGCAGGAGAGGGUAGUGGAAUUCCCGGUGUAGUGGUGAAAUGCGUAGAUAUCGGGAGGAACACCAGUGGCGAAAGCGACUACCUGGCCUGUUCUUGACGCUGAGGCGCGAAAGCUAGGGGAGCAAACGGG
rnacentral:rRNA from 1 species